UACAGAGGGUGCGAGCGUUAAUCGGAUUUACUGGGCGUAAAGGGUGCGUAGGUGGUUGCGUAAGUGAGAUGUGAAAUCCCCGGGCUUAACCUGAGAACUGCGUCUUAUACUGCGUAGCUGGAGUACAUGAGAGGGUAGUGGAAUUUCCGGUGUAGCGGUGAAAUGCGUAGAUAUCGGAAGGAACACCAGUGGCGAAGGCGGCUACCUGGCAUGAUACUGACACUGAGGCACGAGAGCGUGGGGAGCAAACAGG
rnacentral:rRNA from 1 species